GCAGAUGUGGCGAAAUAGGUAGACGCGUUAGAUUUAGGUUCUGAUGUCAUAAGACGUGUAGGUUCGAGUCCUAUCAUCUGCA
rnacentral:tRNA from 1 species